rnacentral:lncRNA from 1 species
UCUGUUCUUAAUGAGUUUUAGAUAAUUUUAGUUGUAUUUCUUUGUAAUUUUGUGUUGUACAAAGAUUAAUUUAACAUUUUCUCUGGAAGUAUUAAUUUAGAAAGAUAAUAUGCUUCAUUGGUGUUGUGUUUUGAAGUGUGAAAUGUGAUAAGUCAAGAUAAAGUUCACUUUUAAACUGAACUAAAUAAGGUAUCUGAGAGACAACAAUGGUUAAAUGCAAUACAAUGUACAGGUUUUACUAGCGAAAUGAAAAUUUUCCUGUCCUGUCUGCUGUAAUCAUUUUAUAUCUGGAAAACCAGCCGACUUAAUAGAUAAUAACAAUCUCCAGAUUGGGUUCCUUCAAUAAAUAUGGUCUAUAAACACAAUGAAAUAAGUUCCCCAAAAUCUAAAAUGGAGUGGUAUCAAAGGAGAAUUAAAGGGAAAAAUAUUCAUAUUGAAAUUAUUUAUAAGGCACUGGACUGUCUUAAAUUCUACAAUAAUACUAGAAUCAGCUGAGAGAAGUGGUCUACAAAAAAACCAGGAAGGAAACGGAAUAUGUGGCUACGAAAGGCAAAAGAAAGGUUUACAAAGCAAAUGUGACACAUUUUUUUGAAAUAUUUAGGAAUAUCAGUAAAUUGCAUUAAAAAAAUGUAUGAAAAGAUUUUGUUCAAUAAAAAUGUUUAUAUUUA